rnacentral:rRNA from 1 species
CCUACGGGAGGCAGCAGUGAGGAAUAUUGGUCAAUGGGCGCGAGCCUGAACCAGCAAAGUAGCGUGAAGGAUGACUGCCCUACGGGUUGUAAACUUCUGUGAUAAAGGAAUAAAGUGAGGCACGUGUGCCUUUUUGUAUGUACUUUAUGAAUAAGGAUCGGCUAACUCCGUGCCAGCAGCCGCGGUAAUACGGAGGCUCCGAGCGUUAUCCGGCUUUAGUGGGGUGAAAGAGAGCGUAGAUGGGUUGUUAAGUCAGUUGUGAAAGUUUGCGGCUCAACCGUAAAAUUGCAAUUGAUACUGGCAGUCUUGAGUACAGUUGAGGUAGGCGGAAUUCGUGGUGUAGCGG